UACGUAGGUGGCAAGCGUUGUCCGGAUUUACUGGGCGUAAAGAGCGCGCAGGCGGUCGGAUAAGUCGAAUGUGAAAGCCCCCGGCUCAACUGGGGAGGGUCAUUCGAUACUGUUCGACUCGAAGGCAGGAGAGGGAAGUGGAAUUCCCGGUGUAGUGGUGAAAUGCGUAGAUAUCAGGAGGAACACCGGUGGCGAAGGCGGGUCUCUGGGCCGUUACUGACGCUGAGGAGCGAAAGCGUGGGGAGCGAACAGG
rnacentral:rRNA from 1 species